AACGAACGCUGGCGGCGUGGAUAAGACAUGCAAGUCGAACGGGAAUUCUUUUGGUAGCAAUACCGAAAGAAUUCUAGUGGCGAACGGGUGCGUAACACGUGGGCAAUCUACCGAGAAGUGGGGGAUAGCUCGCCGAAAGGCGAAUUAAUACCGCAUGUGAUCAGGGAAGACAUCUUUCCGAAAUCAAAGGUGGCGCAAGCUACCGCUUUUUGAGGGGCCCGCGGCCUAUCAGCUUGUUGGUGAGGUAACGGCUCACCAAGGCUAUGACGGGUAGCUGGUCUGAGAGGACGACCAGUCACACUGGAACUGAGACACGGUCCAGACACCUACGGGUGGCAGCAGUCGAGAAUUUUUUCUCAAUGGGGGCAACCCUGAAGGAGCGACGCCGCGUGGGAGGAUGAAGGCUUUCGGGUUGUAAACUCCUGUCAUUUGAGAACAAGUUGGACGCAGUAACUACGCGUCCAUUGAUAGUAUCAGAAGAGGAAA
rnacentral:rRNA from 1 species